GAUGAAGAACGUAGCGAAAUGCGAUAAGUAGUGUGAAUUGCAGAAUUCAGUGAAUCAUCGAAUCUUUGAACGCACAUUGCGCCCUUUGGUAUUCCUUAGGGCAUGCCUGUUCGAGCGUCAUUUAAACCUUCAAGCUCAGCUUGGUGUUGGGUGACUGUCCGCUUCACCGCGGACUCGCCUCAAAAUUAUUGGCGGCCGGUACAUUGGCUCUCGAGCGCAGCAGAAACGCGUAACUCGAGGUCCUCGUGCUGGCUCCCAGAAGCUAUCUUCACAAUUUUGACCUCGGAUCAGGUAGGGAUACCCGCUGAACUUAAGCAUAUCAAUAAGCGGA
rnacentral:misc_RNA from 1 species